rnacentral:rRNA from 1 species
CCUACGGGGGGCAGCAGUGGGGAAUAUUGGACAAUGGGGGCAACCCUGAUCCAGCCAUGCCGCGUGUGUGAAGAAGGCCCUCGGGUUGUAAAGCACUUUCAGUGAGGAAGAACGCCUGGUGGUUAAUACCCAUCAGGAAAGACAUCACUCACAGAAGAAGCACCGGCUAACUCCGUGCCAGCAGCCGCGGUAAUACGGAGGGUGCGAGCGUUAAUCGGAAUUACCGGGCGUAAAGCGCGCGUAGGUGGCUUGAUAAGCCGGUUGUGAAAGCCCCGGGCUCAACCUGGGAACGGCAUCCGGAACUGUCAAGCUAGAGUGCAGGAGAGGAAGGUAGAAUUCCCGGUGUAGCGGUGAAAUGCGUAGAGAUCGGGAGGAAUACCAGUGGCGAAGGCGGCCUUCUGGACUGACACUGACACUGAGGUGCGAAAGCGUGGGUAGCAAACAGGAUUAGAUACCCGGGUAGUC